CCUACGGGUGGCAGCAGUGAGGAAUAUUGGUCAAUGGGCGAGAGCCUGAACCAGCCAAGCCGCGUGAGGGAAGAAGGUACAGCGUAUCGUAAACCUCUUUUAUAAGGGAAUAAAGUGUGGGACGUGUCCUAUUUUGUAUGUACCUUAUGAAUAAGGAUCGGCUAACUCCGUGCCAGCAGCCGCGGUAAUACGGAGGAUCCGAGCGUUAUCCGGAUUUAUUGGGUUUAAAGGGUGCGUAGGCGGCCUUUUAAGUCAGCGGUGAAAGGCUGUGGCUCAACCAUAGAAUUGCCGUUGAAACUGGGGGGCUGGAGUAUGUGUGAGGCAGGCGGAAGGCGUGGUGUAGCGGUGAAAUGCGUAGAGAUCGCGCAGAACCCCGAUGGCGAAGGCAGCCUGCCAGGCCAUGACUGACGCUGAUGCACGAAAGCGUGGGGAUCAAACAGGAUUAGAUACCCUUGUAGUC
rnacentral:rRNA from 1 species